rnacentral:rRNA from 1 species
CCGGCGAGCGGCGGACGGGUGAGUAAUGUCUGGGAAACUGCCUGAUGGAGGGGGAUAACUACUGGAAACGGUAGCUAAUACCGCAUAACGUCGCAAGACCAAAGAGGGGGACCUUCGGGCCUCUUGCCAUCAGAUGUGCCCAGAUGGGAUUAGCUAGUAGGUGGGGUAACGGCUCACCUAGGCGACGAUCCCUAGCUGGUCUGAGAGGAUGACCAGCCACACUGGAACUGAGACACGGUCCAGACUCCUACGGGAGGCAGCAGUGGGGAAUAUUGCACAAUGGGCGCAAGCCUGAUGCAGCCAUGCCGCGUGUAUGAAGAAGGCCUUCGGGUUGUAAAGUACUUUCAGCGGGGAGGAAGGCGUUGAGGUUAAUAACCUCAGCGAUUGACGUUACCCGCAGAAGAAGCACCGGCUAACUCCGUGCCAGCAGCCGCGGUAAUACGGAGGGUGCAAGCGUUAAUCGGAAUUACUGGGCGUAAAGCGCACGCAGGCGGUCUGUCAAGUCGGAUGUGAAAUCCCCGGGCUCAACCUGGGAACUGCAUUCGAAACUGGCAGGCUAGAGUCUUGUAG